rnacentral:lncRNA from 1 species
UUGUGUGAAUUACAAUAUGAAAAAAAAACAAAAAGAAUUAGCAGAUGAUGAUAUAUUGUUGUAUAAAGAGAAGUUAAACAAAAAAUGAUGACCUGAUGAUAGAAGUUUUCGAAAACUUUCACCACAUGGUCAAAAGCAUUGAUGAUUUUUUUUAUAAAGAUGAAGACCUAAAUGUGUUUCAAAAAAAGUUUAACAAAAACAAGGAAAUGUACAAUGCACUUGUGGAAAAAGUUGCUACACAAAACAAAAAAAUUGAAUGGAAAAAAGAUGAUCUUUUGUCUAUGACCGACGAGCAAAGAGAAGAAUUAAAAAUGCACCAAGAAUAUAUUAAGCAUCAAAUUUUAGAACUUAAUAAAAAGAUAGAAUGGGAUAAGUUAGAAGCAGAAAGGAAAAAAAAAAGAAUUAGAAGAAGAAGAGGAAAGGGAAAGAAAAAAAAAAGAAUUAGAAGAAGAAGAGGAAAGGGAAAGAAAAAAAAAAGAAUUAGAAGAAGAAAAGGAAAGGGAAAGGCAAAAAAAAGUAUUAGAAGAAGAGGAGAAAGAAAAACAAAAAAAAGCAUUAGAAGCAGAAGAGGAGAAAAGAAGACUAAAAAAAAUAUUAGAAGAAGAAGAAGAGGAAAGAGAGAGGCAAAGACAAGAACUGGAAGAACAAGCAAAUUGUAUAAAUUAUGA